rnacentral:rRNA from 1 species
UACGUAGGGCGCAAGCGUUAUCCGGAAUUAUUGGGCGUAAAGAGCUCGUAGGCGGUUUGUCGCGUCUGCCGUGAAAGUCCCGGGGCUCAACUCCGGAUCUGCGGUGGGUACGGGCAGACUAGAGGUGAUGUAGGGGAGACUGGAAUUCCUGGUGUAGCGGUGAAAUGCGCAGAUAUCAGGAGGAACACCGAUGGCGAAGGCAGGUCUCUGGGCCACUACUGACGCUGGAGAAGCGGAAAGCAUGGGGAGCGAACAGG